rnacentral:rRNA from 1 species
CCUACGGGGGGCUGCAGUGGGGAAUAUUGCACAAUGGGGGAAACCCUGAUGCAGCAACGCCGCGUGAGUGAAGAAGUAUUUCGGUAUGUAAAGCUCUAUCAGCAGGGAAGAAGAUGACGGUACCUGACCAAGAAGCCCCGGCGAAAUACGUGCCAGCAGCCGCGGUAAUACGUAGGGGGCAAGCGUUAUCGGGAUUUACUGGGUGGAAAGGGAGCGCAGACGGCAGUGCAAGUCUGGAGUGAAAGCCCGGGGCCCAACCCCGGAACUGCUCUGGAAACUGUGCGGCUAGAGUACUGGAGGGGCAGGCGGAAUUCCUAGUGUAGCGGUGAAAUGCGUAGAUAUUAGGAGGAACACCAGUGGCGAAGGCGGCCUGCUGGACAGUAACUGACGUUGAGGCUCGAAAGCGUGGGGAGCAAACAGGAUUAGAUACCCUAGUAGUC